rnacentral:lncRNA from 1 species
UCCUGACCUUAUGAUCUACCCACGUUGGCCUCCCAAAGUGCUGGGAUUACAUGUGUGAUCUACUGCGCCUGGCCGAGUGAUUUCUUAAAAACCAAACGUAUACUUAUCAUAGGACCCAACAAUUGCACCCAAGGGCAUUUAUCCCAGAGAAAGGGAAACCUAUGUGUACACAAAAAUCUGUACAUGAAUGAAUGUUCACAGGUAGUUUAUAGUAGCUGAAAACUGGACACAGUCAAAAGGUUCUUCAGCAGGUGAAUGGUUAAACAAACAGUGGUACAUCUAUACCAUAGAAUAUUACCCAGCAAUAAAAAGGAACAAACUAUUAAUACACAAAACAGCUUGUAUGGAUCUCAAGGGCAUUAAUGUUAAAUGACAAAAGCCCACUUUAAAAGGUCAGAUAAUAUAGGAGUCUUUUAUAUAGAUUUUCAAAAAAACAAAAUUGGCAUACACCCACCAUUCUGCCACUGUUGCCAGCACAUGCUAGUAAGCAUGGAUCCUGCUGCCACUGCCCCAGUGAAGUGCUUUGGCCAGCAUCCUCUGUCAGAGUGUUGUUUCCAGAAGAUGGGGAACACCUAUGCCCCUCCAGCACAGCAGGUUCUUAACCUUGAGGGGCAGAGAACAAAGCUGGGGGACUGGUACCAGCCCCCCCAGGGUUGCAGCAUACUCCCCCAGGAGUGCUGAGCUAAGCCGUGGCCCCCUGAAAUCUUCCAGAAAUGAAGCUCAUCAACUGAACCUCUUAUACCAUAAUCAAACCCUCAGAGCAUCAAAUAAAAUCGGAGCUAAACUGAAUGAAAUUAAGACAUGGAAAACCAUACAAAAGAUCAACAAAACCAUAAAUUGGGUCUUUGAAAAAAUUAAUCAGAUUGAUAGACCACUAGCUAGACUAAUAAGGAAAAAAGAAGAUUCAAAUAAACAAAGUUAGAAAUGACAAAGGGGACAUUACCACCAACCCCCCAGAAAUACCAAAAAACUCCCCAGAGACUAUUACUACUACUUCUAUGCACACAAAUUAGAAAACGUACAAGAAGUGGAUAAAUUUCUGGAAAUAUGCAACCUGUUAAGAUUGAACCGGGAAGAAACGGAAACCCUGGACAGACCAAUAACAUUUCCAAAAUUGAAUCAGUAAUAAAUUGCCCAACAACUAGAAAAAGCCACGGACCAGACAGAUUCACAGCCAAAUUCUACUAGACAUAUAAAGAGGAGCUGGUACUAUUCCCACUGAAACUAUUCUGAAAAAUGUAGGAGGAGGACCUUCUCCCUAACUCCUUCUGUGAGGCCAGCAUUUUUCUGAUACCAAAAUCUGGCAGAGACACAAUAAAAAUAGAAAAGUUCAGGCCAGUAUCUUUGAUGAACAUAGAUAUAAAAAUCCGCAACCAAAUACUAGCAAACUGAAUCCAGCAGCGCAUCAAAAAGCUAAUCCACUAUGAUCAAGUAGGCUUUAUCCCUGGCAUGCAAGGUUGACUCAAUAUAUACAAAUCAAUAAAUGUGAUUCAUCACAAAAACAGAACUAAAAACAAAAACCACAUGAUUAUCUCAAUAGAUGUAGAAAAGCCUUUUGAUAAAAUUAGACAUCCUUCUUGUUAAAAAUCCUCAACAAACUAGGCAUUGGAAGAAUGAACUUACCUCAAAAUAAUAAUGACAAAUCCAUAGCCAACAUCAUACCAAAUGAACAAAAGCUGGAAGCAUUCCCCUUGAGAACUGUAAUAAAACAAGGAUGCCCACUCUCACCACUCCUUUUCAACAUAGUACUGGAAGUCCUAGCCAGAGCAAUCAGUCAAGAGAAAGAAAUAAAAGGCAUAUAAAUAGCAAGACGGGAAGUUAAACCAUCUGUUGGAAAUGAUAUGAUUUUAUGCCUGGGAAACCCUGUAGUCUCUGUCCAAAAGCUCUUUAAUUUGAUAAACAACUUCAGCAAGGUUUCAGCAUACAAAAUCAAUGUAAAAAAUUAGUAGCUUUUUCUAUACACCAACAGUAUUCAAGGUGAGAGCCAAAUCAAGAAUGCAGUCCCAUUCACAAUAGUCAAACACACACAAAAAAAUACCUAAUACAUCUAACCAUGGAGGUGAAAGAUCUUUACAUUGAGAAUUAUAAAACACUCCUGAAAGAAAUCAGAGACAACACAAAUGGAGAAACAUUCCAUGCUCGUGGAUAGGAAGAAUCAAUACUGUUAAAAUGGCCACACUGCCCAAAGCAAUUUAUAGAUUCUGUCCUGUUCCUAUCAAACUACCAACGUGACUUCUCACAGAAUUAGAAAAAUUUAUUCUAAAAUUCAUAUGGAAUCUAAAAAGAGCCAGAAUAGCCAAAGCAGUCCUAAGCAAAAAGUGAAGCUGGAGGCAUCACAUUAUCUGACUUCAAACUGUACUACAAGGCUACAGUAGCCAAAACAGCAUGGUACUGGUACAAAACCA